GAGGAUUGCUCAAGAUAUUCUUGCUAUUCCAGUCUCUACUGUUGCUUCUGAGUCUGCUUUUAGCACCGUUGGAAAGGUAAUAAGUCCACAUCGCAAUAGACUUCAUUCAGGUACAUUGGAGGCAUUGAUGUGUUCUCAAAAUUGGUUAUGAGCUGAUCUAAAAGGUGAAGAGUCUUGUUCGACAAUCUAUGAUGAUAAUGAUUCAGAAGAUAUUGAUAAUUGAUGACAUAGAUUUGAGUUUCACUGUCC